rnacentral:lncRNA from 1 species
GCUUUAUGCUUCUCCGCAGGGUUUGAACUUUUCAUCCUGCAUAUAGCCAUGAUGUGACUAAUUAGACUCUAGGCUGAACCUUCCGGAACAAGCAACAGGAUAGUUGUUUGAAAAGCUGCAAAAUUAUAUUGGAGGACUGCUUACAGUAGGAUUUGCUCCAUCUCCAUUUCGGAAUUUCCUCAGAGACGUGCACAUUUUUUCACAAAGCUUUAUUCUGAUACUUGGCAAGCUUCUUCACUUACGUAUUCAUUCAAGGAAUCUCAGUGUUUGCGUUUUGGCAUUCUGGUGUUGACAUCCUGUGUUUUGUGAUAGGCUCCCAAGGAUGAAUUGUUGCAGACUCAGCUAGCUAACUCUCUUGCAUGGGCUGGAAAGGAACCCGCAUUAGAAUGUGAUGGAGCUUUUAUACCAUCUCUCGCAGAACGAGUAUCCUUUGCAGCCCUACAACCAGUUUCAGGCAAACUAAAUUUCAUUACAUCACAUCUACAUUCGUUCUAAUACAAGGGUAUACAAUGGGAUUCAUGGACGUUGUUUGGUAUUUUUUUCCUUUGACAGGCUCGUCGCAGUCAGAGAUCAUCAAUCUGCAGCAAGAGAAGCUACGAGCAAUGGAUGUAAGAGACACGCUGCUAAGACUGGAUGAUUCUCUAAGACUAAUUAACCAGACCGUUUCUUUGGUCGCCGCAAAGCUUGCAAUUCAGUCUCUGGAAAUGACAUAAGAUUAUAAAUAGUUUGCUUCUCUGUACAGACUACAGAGCUCCUAAAAAUGAUUACUCUAUUUGCAUGAAAAAAGUACGAACGAGACUCUGCGGGUUUGUUUGUUAUCCCACAUAUGAUAUACCGUAGAAAGAGCUCUCUGAUCGGUUUGAAACCACUUUUUUCCUUCCACUCUUCAGAGAUUAGAAGACGCCAUCUUAUAUUAUUUACUCACGUGAUGUGCGCCUAAUUCCGAUGUCCCGCAGCCAGAUCGCUAUCUCAAAUGAUAUCAGCCAUCGAACCUUCUAGGUCUCGCCAAACAGCUAGUGGGUCAACGUAAUGGACGGAUAAGAUUCAGUUGGCGUCUGCUACAUGCUUCCACGAUGAAUGAUUGAGCUAAAGCGGUCACUUCAACUACUCCCGGGUGUUUUACAAAUUUGACCCAAGAAAGAUCCGUCGGUGGCUCUACUACAGAAUUCUGACCACCAUGUCCACCUCAGCCAUCUCCGGUCGUUCUCUUCCAGACGCUGAAAUCCCUCUUCUCUACGACGACACUGUUGAUGGAGCCGUCGACU